UACGGGGGGGGGCAAGCGUUGUUCGGAAUUACUGGGCGUAAAGGGCGCGUAGGCGGCCUUCUAAGUCGGACGUGAAAUCCCUCGGCUUAACCGAGGAACUGCGUCCGAUACUGAAAGGCUUGAAUCCGGGAGAGGGAUGUGGAAUUCCAGGUGUAGCGGUGAAAUGCGUAGAUAUCAGGAGGAACACCAAUGGCGAAGGCAGCUCACUGGGACGGUACUGACGCUGAGACGCGAAAGCGUGGGGAGCAAACAGG
rnacentral:rRNA from 1 species